rnacentral:lncRNA from 1 species
UUGGUCCCAAGUUGAUUGUCAGGGCAUGCCCUUUAAUAAAUCAGUAAAUGUGUUAGAAAACAAGCUUGGAAACGGCACCAUGAACUACAGAACUGGGCCCAACAUUACCUUCUUGAUAAUGAAACUUACGCAAAGAUUUCGCUACUCAAAUUUAGCCUAAUAAUAUCACCUCAAACAAAGGCUUUCCAAAAGGCGAAAAUGGCGGAAGAAACAGUGUGUUUUCUCUAUGCCUGUAUUCCUCAGUCCAAGAUUGUGGGGUCAAAUACAUUUGAAUGUUUAUACUAGAUUAGCAUGACUUGCAAAGUUGAAUAUCAACUCGAGUUUGAUUCCUGUGGCGAGCACUCAGAGUGCAACUCCUGAAUGCACAACUAAAUGCGCAAAAUGUACCUGAAAAUCAGCCAAAGAAAGUGGAUUAGCUGAGGUGGGUAUAAAGUUGGCUUAGACACUGUUGUACCUCUGAUUUAAACUAAAAAGAAAAAAGGGAGGUUGAAGUAACGCAAAUGAUGUAUAUAUAUAAAAUAAAUAUGCAAAACUAUAACCGAAAGGAUACUUGAAACACUCUCCAACAUCAAGCACUGUAUUUAUGGAGAAAAAAGAGGUUGCAAUAGACCUCCCCACUACUCCUCAACACUGUAAAAGCCAUUUCCUGAGAAGUUUGCUUUGUUCUUCCAUUUU